UUAGGCCUGUGAAGGUGUCUGGUAACGGAUGCUGGAGGUAUCAGAAGUGCGAAUGCUGACAUGAGUAGCGUUAAAGGGGGUGAAAAGCCCCCUCGCCGUAAGCGCAAGGUUUUCUACGCAACGUUCAUCGGCGUAGAGUGAGUCGGCCCCUAAGGCGAGGCAGAGAUGCGUAGCUGAUGGGAAACAGGUCAAUAUUCCUGUACCGAUGUGUAGUGCGAUGUGGGGACGGAGAAGGUUAGCUCAGCCAACUGUUGGAUAUGUUGGUUCAAGCCUGUAGUCGUGCCCGGUAGACAAAUCCGCCGGGCUUAGAUGAGGGGUGAUAACGAGGCUGCUUGCAGCCGAAGUGAGUGAUACCCUGCUUCCAGGAAAAGCCACUAAGCUUCAGCUACACACGACCGUACCGCAAACCGACACUGGUGCGCGAGAUGAGUAUUCUAAGGCGCUUGAGAGAACUCAGGAGAAGGAACUCGGCAAAUUGAUACCGUAACUUCGGGAGAAGGUAUGCCCCAAGUAGGUGAACCUGUACAAGGCGAGCCCAAAGGGGUUGCAAAAAAUCGGUGGCUGCGACUGUUUAAUAAAAACACAGCACUCUGCAAACACGAAAGUGGACGUAUAGGGUGUGACGCCUGCCCGGUGCUGGAAGAUUAAAUGAUGGGGUGCAAGCUCUUGACUGAAGUCCCAGUAAACGGCGGCCGUAACGAUAACGGUCCUAAGGUAGCGAAAUUCCUUGUCGGGUAAGUUCCGACCUGCACGAAUGGCGUAACGAUGGCCACACUGUCUCCUCCUGAGACUCAGCGAAGUUGAAAUGUUUGUGAUGAUGCAAUCUCCCCGCGGAAAGACGGAAAGACCCCAUGAACCUUUACUGUAGCUUUGUAUUGGACUUUGAACAGAUCUGUGUAGGAUAGGUGGGAGGCUUUGAAGUGAGGUCGCUAGAUCUCAUGGAGCCAACGUUGAAAUACCACCCUGGUGUGUUUGAGGUUCUAACCUAGGUCCAUUACCUGGAUCGGGGACAGUGCAUGGUAGGCAGUUUGACUGGGGCGGUCUCCUCCCAAAGCGUAACGGAGGAGUUCGAAGGUACGCUAGUUACGGUCGGACAUCGUGACGAUAGUGCAAUGGCAUAAGCGUGCUUAACUGCGAGACUUACAAGUCGAGCAGAUGCGAAUGCAGGACAUAGUGAUCCGGUGGUUCUGUAUGGAAGGGCCAUCGCUCAACGGAUAAAAGGUACUCUGGGGAUAACAGGCUGAUACCGCCCAAGAGUUCAUAUCGACGGCGGUGUUUGGCACCUCGAUGUCGGCUCAUCUCAUCCUGGGGCUGUAGCCGGUCCCAAGGGUAUGGCUGUUCGCCAUUUAAAGAGGUACGUGAGCUGGGUUUAAAACGUCGCGAGACAGUUUGGUCCCUAUCUUCCGUGGGCGCUGCAGAUUUGAGGAAGCCUGCUCCUAGUACCAAAC
rnacentral:rRNA from 1 species